UUUGCGUCGAAGGUAUACCGGUAAGGAGUGCUGGAGCGAAUAGAAGUGAGCAUGCAGGCAUGAGUAGCGAUAAUUAAUGUGAGAAUCAUUAACGCCGUAAACCCAAGGUUUCCUACGCGAUGCUCGUCAUCGUAGGGUUAGUCGGGUCCUAAGUCGAGUCCGAAAGGGGUAGACGAUGGCAAAUUGGUUAAUAUUCCAAUACCAACAUUAGUGUGCGAUGGAAGGACGCUUAGGGCUAAGGGGGCUAGCGGAUGGAAGUGCUAGUCUAAGGUCGUAGGAGGUUGUACAGGCAAAUCCGUAUAACAAUACUUCGAGAACUGAAAGGCUUUUUGAAGUCUUCGGAUGGAUAGAAGAACCCCUGAUGCCGUCGAGCCAAGAAAAGUUUCUAAGUUUAGCUAAUGUUGCCCGUACCGUAAACCGACACAGGUGGGUGGGAUGAGUAUUCUAAGGCGCGUGGAAGAACUCUCUUUAAGGAACUCUGCAAAAUAGCACCGUAUCUUCGGUAUAAGGUGUGGUUAGCUUUGUAUUAGGAUUUACUCCGAAAGCAAGGAAACUUACAACAAAGAGUCCCUCCCGACUGUUUACCAAAAACACAGCACUCUGCUAACUCGUAAGAGGAUGUAUAGGGUGUGACGCCUGCCCGGUGCUCGAAGGUUAAUUGAUGGGGUUAGCAUUAGCGAAGCUCUUGAUCGAAGCCCGAGUAAACGGCGGCCGUAACUAUAACGGUCCUAAGGUAGCGAAAUUCCUUGUCGGUUAAAUACCGACCUGCAUGAAUGGCGUAACGAGAUGGGAGCUGUCUCAAAGAGGGAUCCAGUGAAAUUGUAGUGGAGGUGAAAAUUCCUCCUACCCGCGGCAAGACGGAAAGACCCCGUGGACCUUUACUACAGCUUGACACUGCUACUUGGAUAAGAAUGUGCAGGAUAGGUGGGAGGCUUUGAGUAUAUGACGCCAGUUGUAUAUGAGCCAUUGUUGAGAUACCACUCUUUCUUAUUUGGGUAGCUAACCAGCUUGAGUUAUCCUCAAGUGGGACAAUGUCUGGUGGGUAGUUUGACUGGGGCGGUCGCCUCCCAAAUAAUAACGGAGGCUUACAAAGGUUGGCUCAGAACGGUUGGAAAUCGUUCGUAGAGUAUAAAGGUAUAAGCCAGCUUAACUGCAAGACAUACAAGUCAAGCAGAGACGAAAGUCGGUCUUAGUGAUCCGGUGGUUCUGUGUGGAAGGGCCAUCGCUCAAAGGAUAAAAGGUACCCCGGGGAUAACAGGCUGAUCUCCCCCAAGAGCUCACAUCGACGGGGAGGUUUGGCACCUCGAUGUCGGCUCAUCGCAUCCUGGGGCUGGAGCAGGUCCCAAGGGUAUGGCUGUUCGCCAUUUAAAGCGGUACGCGAGCUGGGUUCAGAACGUCGUGAGACAGUUCGGUCCCUAUCUGCCGUGGGCGUAAGAAGAUUGAAGAGAUUUGACCCUAGUACGAGAGGACCGGGUUGAACAAACCACUGGUGUAGCUGUUGUUCUGCCAAGAGCAUCGCAGCGUAGCUAAGUUUGGAAAGGAUAAACGCUGAAAGCAUCUAAGCGUGAAGCCAACUCUAAGAUGAAUCUUCUCUAAGCUCUCUAGAAGACUACUAGUUUGAUAGGCUGGGUGUGUAAUGGAUGAAAGUCCUUUAGCUGACCAGUACUAAUAGAGCGUUUGGCUUAUCUUUAAUAAAGCAU
rnacentral:rRNA from 1 species